ensembl:lncRNA
CUUUUUUGAACCACAGCAGCACUGUGAUUGGAAUUUCUACUUUGGAGAUGUUUUUAAUGAUAGUCUACCACACUUUGGUCAUUCUGCAAUCCUCUGCAAGUCCAACCUCAAGACGAAAUGUGCUGAUUAAAAGAUACGCUGCAGGUACUGGAGGAACACAAUGAAAAGGCAGAGUGCAGUGAAUGAAUCUUGUCUCUCAGCAGUGCUAUUUGGAGAACUUCUUGAAGCCAGUGGUGGAGCAUAACUGGGCUACUUGAAAGGAACUACCACUAAGAUGCAGGUUUUUGGGACACCCAGGAAAGAAAAAAUGAAAGUGAAUAAUAGGAAAAAUAAAAAAUAAAAAGUCAGACUUGGAGAUUUCUGCUCUUUCCACUGAACUUCCCUUUGGAUGAGUCAGAGGAAGGUGGGAAAUUAUAAGAAGAUCACCCUGUGAAGAUCUAUGAAAAUCUAGUCAGAUAAUCAACUGAGACUGAAGAAUGAUUCUUCUCACCCUGAAGUGCACAUCUAAAAUAGAUCAGACAGUCAAACCUCAGAAUUGUUGGCUGUUAAGUGAGGUCAGCACGACUAGCUUUGUAGCAGAAGUUCACUACAGAUGUCUAAAGCCAGAUGAGAAGUAUCACCUCAUUAAUUAAUUCAAGCACAGUAUGAAUGUAGUAAAGGACCAGCGCACCAGCAAAGGCAGCUAUACAAAAGCUCUUCUGUGUGUUGAUAGGCAGUAGAGGUGCCAGUGAUAAAUUGGGCUGCACGUGGAACAAGAUUAAAAGUAUUAAGUUGGAGUGCAUUGCCUUGUACGUGAAUUUACUGAGUAGCUUCAAAGGGAAUGUAUGUUCAGUUAUGAUGGUUUGAGGGGAAAAAAAUUUUGUCAUUUUGUAUUGUCACAAAGGAAGACAUUCUACGUAAGUGCUAGAAGAUAAGGGAAAUCAUGGAAAACCUGUUAUAUGAAGGAUUCAGAAAGACUUGGAUUGUUAGCAUGUGGAAGGAGACAAAGAAAUAUAGCAAUAAAAGCUGGGUUCACUGUGGUUGUAUGCUUGUUUUGUCACAGAUGUUCAGGGCACAAACUACCCUAACAAUGGCAUCCCUAAACUUGGUGUCCAGAUCUGAGAUAGUCACCUUGGGCUGCAAUAGAAGGGAAAAUGAUUAUUCUAUACUUACCAUUAGCAAGUGAUAUUCUUCCAUGUCUUGGAAAGCAGGGUCUCAAUGGACAUAGCAGCCAUUUGGGAGGACAGACAAGUUGAAAAGUGGUACAGGGGGUCUGCUUCUCCUCUCACUGUAGAAAUGAGCUAUGGACCUCACUGUUGCAUCAAUUGACUGACACUGCUCCAAGAUGAGUAAGAUUCAAAGAGAAACAGUGAUUACAUGGCUGAAAAGAAUAUCCAGAUAUAGCACAAAAGAUAAAAUUACACAGGAAGGCUAUAAAAUCUUCAGAUUUGAAAAGAUCAAGAUAUCCUUUAUUUUUUGUUGCUCAGAAGAGAUAAUCUGGGUUACAGACUGUAACGUCUGCUUAUUACAAACCAUUUUACACUUUUCUCCAGUCAAUGUUCUUUCUCAGGAAAGAAGUCCCUAGGCUAUUUCUCUGAUCCUAUAUGGACAUUUUUAUGUUGCUAGAGAAGAUGGAAGUCUCCAUUUGUGUUUAACAUGGGAUUUCCUCUUCUAGAUGGAAAUCAUCCAGUCUCAUUGAUUAAGUGCAAUUUCCACACACUUCAGUACAGCUCUGCAGGAUUUAAUGACUGCACCCAGCUGAGCAAUAUUCUCUGGAUUUGAUUCACUAUACAUAUUAAUUUUAGAGCCUGUCUCAAAUAACCUUCAUUGAUUUCUUCAUCAUAUAUACAAGUCUAACCUUGUUUGACUGGUUGCUUGAAAUGCAGUGCCAUUAUUCAGUGGAACAGGAAUUAAGACAGGCUGAUGUGGCUGAACAGAAUUAACAGUUUAAAAAAGUUGUCUGUCUGUGCUGAUGCAUUUGAGAAGAAAAGUGAUGGGGAUUCUGAGCACAGCGAGACCUGCAAGGUGCUUUGUAAAGCAAGUUACUUUCAAGAGAGAAAAAAAACCCAAAAACUGUCUGAAUGGUACAUUAGGCAUGAUCUGAUAAUAACCCCAAAAAUGUCUAAAAUGGAUACAAAUUGCAAAUCCACAGCUGUGACAAUGCAACUAUGGAUUUCUGGCCUCAUAGAUUUAGAGGAGCAAUAAAUGCCAUUGCCAAACUAGUUAAAAGCAACGGCUGAAAGUGUGUAAGUUAGACUAGCUGGAAAGUAAAUGUUUGGAAAAUGCUUUGAGAUUUCAUGUCAUUUCCUUGGGAUAGAACACUCUGAGGCAUCAGUAACUUCAUUUUCCAUUGUGGUGAACUUCAGAGCAAAAGAUUUAAAGACAAUCUCUAUAUGCUUUCUCCCAGAAAACUAUAAGCUUAAUGACCCGUUUUAUUAAAAGCUGAAUUCCAGGAAGUCUAAGUAGUCAUGGUGUGUUUUUUAUUUGUAAUGCUUUCAUCCGUAAGCACUGUUAUUUUUGUCCUUAUCCUGUACCUCUUAGCAAGCUUGCUUUUCUUGUUAUGAG